rnacentral:rRNA from 1 species
CCUACGGGAGGCAGCAGUAGGGAAUAUUGCUCAAUGGGGGAAACCCUGAAGCAGCAACGCCGCGUGGAGGAUGAAGGUUUUCGGAUUGUAAACUCCUUUUGUUAGAGAAGAUAAUGACGGUAUCUAACGAAUAAGCACCGGCUAACUCCGUGCCAGCAGCCGCGGUAAUACGGAGGGUGCAAGCGUUACUCGGAAUCACUGGGCGUAAAGAGCGCGUAGGCGGGGUAGCAAGUCAGAUGUGAAAUCCUAUGGCGUAACCACAGAACUGCAUUUGAAACUGUUAGGCUAGAGUAUGGGAGGGGUAGGUGGAAUUCCUGGUGUAGGGGUAAAAUCCGUAGGGAUCAAGAGGAAUACUCAUGGCGAAGGCGAACUGCUAGAACAUAACUGACGCUGAGGCGCGAAAGCGUGGGGAGCAAACAGGAUUAGAUACCCCAGUAGUC